UCUGUGGUACAAGAUACAAGGCGCUCUCCGAUCAAUGCGAACGCGACUUGCGAUCGAGUUACGCUCGUAUGCGACUGGGCGGGCGGCCUCGAAGUCUUUUUGUGCUUCCCAUUUUGUCUCGUGGUACGGCACGUCCACCGUGGUCCACUGACGUUUCCGCUGUGCCAUCGCAUGGCCGACGUGUGCAUUCCGAGGCUCGCGUGGUACUCGCUGUGUCACGAGCUGUGUCGCCGUUGAAGAAAGCCAUCCCGCCGUACACGACAUCCGCAUCGGCGCAUCUAAUCGCACCGUGUAACGAUCUCCCGAAAAGUGAGUGAACAAAAGGAACAGCCGCGUGCGAAGGUGGCCGUUCUACAGCGCGUGCUUAAACGUUUAAUGCCCGCGCGCGCGCGACAUUGGGCGGAGAGAAUGAACGGACGACCGCCCCUGCGUUGAAUGGCUAUGUCGUCGACCACGUUUUGUCGUGGUUGAUAUAAUCCGGUGCGAACUGGAUCGGUGCGGUAUCUCAUAGCUAUCUAUAAUAUUCCGAUCGUGUGAUUUUCGUAGAGAAAUCCAUCGUUCCCGGCUUCCUCGACGCGCGGGCCACAUUGCCUGCUCGUCACCGUUGUUGUCUUCAUCGUCGUCAUCGUCCACCAACGGACCAGCUAGAGUGCGCGCGACAGCGAUAAAUCCCCAGCAUUGGGCACGUUGUAACGCCGCGACCACGCGUCCCCUCGCACACCAGCAGCGAUGUCGAACGAGGAGACCUCCGCCGACCGCAAUGUCGAGAUCUGGAAGAUCAAAAAGCUCAUAAAGAGCCUCGAGAUGGCCAGAGGGAAUGGUACAAGUAUGAUUUCAUUAAUCAUACCUCCAAAGGACCAAAUAUCAAGAGUAAGCAAGAUGCUGGCGGAUGAAUUUGGCACGGCAUCGAAUAUUAAGUCACGUGUAAAUAGAUUAUCUGUUUUGGGUGCAAUCACAUCGGUACAGCAUAGGCUAAAGCUAUAUACUAAAGUGCCUCCAAAUGGCCUGGUAAUUUAUUGUGGAACUAUUGUAACUGAAGAAGGGAAAGAAAAGAAAGUCAACAUCGAUUUUGAACCUUUCAAGCCUAUUAAUACUUCUUUAUAUCUUUGUGAUAAUAAGUUUCAUACAGAAGCACUCACGGCAUUACUUGCUGAUGAUAACAAAUUUGGUUUUAUUGUUAUGGAUGGUAAUGGAGCAUUGUUUGGUACAUUACAAGGUAAUACACGUGAAGUAUUACAUAAAUUUACUGUGGACCUUCCCAAGAAACAUGGCAGAGGAGGUCAAUCUGCGCUGCGUUUUGCCCGAUUACGUAUGGAAAAGCGGCAUAAUUAUGUUCGAAAAGUAGCUGAAGUCGCUACUCAAUUAUAUAUUACUAAUGAUAAACCUAAUAUCGCUGGAUUGAUUCUCGCGGGUAGUGCCGACUUCAAGACGGAACUUAGUCAAUCUGAUAUGUUUGAUCCAAGAUUACAAGCUAAGGUUAUAAAACUGGUUGAUGUAUCAUAUGGUGGCGAAAAUGGUUUUAAUCAGGCCAUUGAGUUAGCAGCCGAAUCUUUGCAAAAUGUGAAGUUUAUCCAAGAGAAAAAAUUGAUUGGUCGUUACUUUGAUGAAAUUUCUCAAGAAACUGGAAAGUAUUGUUUUGGUGUAGAAGACACAUUGAGAGCCUUAGAAUUAGGUAGUGUCGAAACUCUAAUCUGUUGGGAGAAUUUAGAUAUUCAACGAUAUGUUUUGAAAAAUCACACAAACGCGGAAGAGAAAGUUUUGCACUUAACGCCAGAACAAGAAAAGGAUAAGACUCACUUUACAGAUAAGGAGAGCGGGGUGGAACUGGAACUUGUAGAAUGUCAACCAUUGCUUGAAUGGCUUGCAAAUAAUUACAAGAGUUUUGGUGCUACCUUGGAAAUUAUCACUGACAAAUCGCAGGAAGGAUCUCAAUUUGUCAGAGGUUUUGGUGGCAUUGGAGGAAUCCUCCGCUACAAAGUUGAUUUCCAGUCUCUGCAGGCUGAUGAGCCUCUUGAUGAUGUUGACCUCGAUGAUUACUAAUUUCAUCCGUGAAUUACUCAGAAUCAACCAGCUUGCAGCUUAUUGGGAAAAAGGUAUCUUGCGGUACAAGGUGGACUUUCAAAGUAUGCAGCUGGAUGACAUCGAAAUCGAUAGCUUUGAUUUGGACGAUUACUAAGUCCAUGACUCAACCGAUAUUUAGUUAUUUUAAACAAAUAAAAUCAUUACAAGGCUUCAAUGAACAAUAAUUGGGUUUUUAUUUAUUUUGAAAUGACAAUAGUUAACAAUAAACAAUAUUUGGAACAUUUCCGCACUUACUUGUGCUUCGUCAAAACAUAAAAAUUUAGAUUCUUAAUAUAUCAUGGUAAGAUAAGAAAAUGGCAAAAUCACGAGAGGCUAUUUAUAUAUAAGACAAAAAAGCUUCAUCUGUCGCAAAUUUGCCGAAAAUUGAUAACGCAUUUCUUUUUACUUCUUCCUUCUCCAUGACACACUUUUAUGUUGAUCAAUAAGUUGUGCAUGUAAAAUGUGGAAUCAUAUCGUAUGUGAUCCAAAAAAAUCGAUUUGUAUCAUGGUCAAAUAAUUCGUAAAAGUUAUAAUUAUGAUGUCAAAAUAUAAAAUUUUGACGAAUUGCGAUAAAAUUGGACGAAGCAAGUAAAAAAUAAAUAUUAAAAAAUUUAUAAUUAAUAAAGAAUUCACAAAAUAUAUAUAUUAAAAUUAGAAUAUAGCCUCUUGUGAGAUAAUUUUGUGCGAACAGGUGGAUGUAAAGUCAGUUAUUUUAGCUUUGGGAAAAGCUGGAGGGACACAAGUGUAUAUUCUCUUUUGCAUACUGUCCCAAGAGAGAAGCAUAGACGGACAUGUUUCAAAAUUUGUCAUAUGCAGUAUAUGCGAUCGUCACGAAAUUAUUGUCUAGAACUUAUUGAAUUUAUCAAACAGAUCGCAAAAUCGAUACAUGAAAAAGAAAAGCACCAACUGAUAUAUGGCGUGGCUAUAUAAUUCAUGUCUAUGAAAGAAAAGGCAAUUCGAAGACUGUCACAUUUAAUUAAGCCAGCUUGAUACCUGCCUACUCUCAUAACAUUCACUACCUUGUAUUACGAUUUAUGGUCCUUAAUUAUUUACACAGAGAUUCAUUUAAACAAUUAUACUACAUGCUCUACAGUGCCGAAUACAAUUGUUGUAUAAUAUAUGAUAAUCGGUUGUAAUUUUAUAUUAAAUUGAUGUUUAUCAUCUUAUCAUAGAUUUUACGAGGAAUGAGUAUUUGAACUACAAGAGCGGCUGUAUAGCAUUAUUUUGUUCAGAUUUAAUCCUGGAAGAAGAGCUGUAAUAAACUGAUUAUUAUGAACAUACAUUGCGUAUAUUCUACACCGAUUUGAAAAAUUCAUAUAACGAUAACGAAAAAAGUUCUGUAAAUAGAUGUCAAUUUUUAAAAAUGGCACAGUUGCCUUAGACAUAAGUUGAGGUCGCGUACACGACCCACGGAGUAAAUGAAGUAUUUCCGUCUUAUGCAGUGAUACACACUUGUAAACAUAAGAACAGAUAAUUCCUCGCAAUUCUACAUUGCUCCGUUGCUGGCUCUUGGCUCUUAGAUUUUUGUACAUUCACACAAUUGUACAUAAAAAAACGCUUCGCAAAAGUAUAUUAAAAUAACUUUUUCAUUGUUAUAGUGGUGCACUUUAAUAAAAAAGGAAGAUAUUUCCCGCAACAUUUGAAUGGCAGUUAUAUUGAAGAUAUUACGAAAUUUAUUUUAACAAUGUUAAUUUAAUUCGCUUAUUCGUAUGAUGCCUUUGUAAUUAACGACGCUAUGUAUGUAUAAAUGUGGAAAGAAUGUAACGUGCAAUUUUGGUGAAGUAUCCUUUGAUGAAAGAAUAUUAUAUAAAAAGGAAGGAUCCUCAAAGAAUCUCCUGACGAAAAGUAUACCGUUAAUGAUGUAUUUACAUUAUAUCUGUAAUAUCAUGCUGAUGUACACCUCCCACAAAGAUAAAAACAGGCACAGAAGAGAGCUUCAUCAAAGUAGAACGUUGGAGAGAGAUCCAAUUUUGCGAUAUGUGCACAACGAAUUUCAGAGUGGCGCGAUGGUUCGAAUUUGUAUCUGUGUAUUAUCUCUCAAGAUACCCAGAUGUUAAUUACCGGCUUAACGUUUCUUCUCAAAUUUUUAUAUGUGAACAUCUCACUAGGAGUCUAGAUAGUUAUUUAUUUCUAUACACUGGUGCGACUUCGUUUCUGCUUAAGCAGAAUAUCUGAUUUAAGUAUGCAAGCUAAUAAAUUAAGAAUUCGAUAAAUAUAAAUUAUUGAGAGAGAAUGAGAGCAAGAAACAGAAGGAGAGUAAGAAAAGCUUUGUAAUUUUUGUCUAACUAUAAAGGUACACGGAAAUGUCCACGCGAAUUGCUUUAUUAAUCAACUCGAUGACGUACAUUAUGGCUUGCUCUUCUGAUCUCUGCAAGCAUAUAAUCUACUAACAACAUAUUCAUCAUUGAUUAUUUUGUUCCCACGUGUUUUGUCAGUGAAAUGUGUCCUUCAAUCGAAACUAAUUUCCUUAAUACUUGAUUAGAUUUCAUAUCUGACAGCAAUACGAGAACGUAAUCGUAAAAGUUUCUUAAUCAAAUUCUAUAUCAUGGAUAUAAUUUUAUUAUAAUUCUUUACGCGUUUUCAUAUAUAUGUACCACGUUGGAUUUGCGCUAUCUUAAAGUAAAGUUUGUUUUUGAUGGAUUACAUUGAAGCAUAUAUAAUAUGGGAUUAUAACUAAGGACCGGAAAAAAAAAUUUCGAUGGUAUUGCUGCUCAUUUCCUGUGAGAUCUAUGCUUUGUCAGGUGAUAAAAAGGAAGAUUGAAAUAAUGAUUUUAAAACAUUCCAUAUACACAUAUUCGCACAUAUACAUGCAUUAAUGUGAAAUGACAAAAAAAGAUCCUUUAUCAAGACUUUUUCCAAAAAAAAAAAAAAAAAUAGUAUAUAUCUAAUUUAUUAAUAUAACUUCUCUUAUGCAGAUAUAUGAGAAUUGAUUAUGUAUUUAUAUAAUAUAUUUCAUAUUAAUUUAAUAAUUUUUGGGCAAUUAAUAAUUAUGUAUGUAUAUAUGAGAUAUGACAGCUAUGAUAAAUCGAUUAUGACGUAUUAAAAAAGAUAAAGUUUUUUGAAAUAACAAUAAAUUAAUGUUUUAUUUCUAAGUAAUACUCCGAAGUUUAUUGAAUAACAAUUAUUUCUAAUCUUCCUUUUCUCACGCAUAUUUUACUCGAAGUUUUAUAUAAAAGGAAGAAAAUAACAUGUCACACACAUUGUAAUAUAAAAUGCCGAAUAGAAUUGUGGACAACCAUAGGAUAUUAAACAGUAUAUGAGUGAAAAAAUACAAUCUAUGUUUCUCAUACAAACAGAUAGUUAUUAAUGUCCGGAGUUAUAUUGACAUAACACGUCGCGGAAAAUUCAUUUUAUAUUGUUUUUAAAUGUAUUAUUGCAUGUUAUAUAAUAUUAAUCUAUAAUAGCUUA